GGGACUAGAGUAUGAUGAACAGUGUUAUCAUCUCGAGGAAUUUUACCAUUACAAGGAAGAGGAAGCUCUUGUCAAGUCUAACGCUAGAGAUGUGAUAUCCCGGCUGAGUACUCCCUGCAAAGUAUUCGACAUUGGAUGUGGAAAUGCUAAAAAAUCUCAGAUGUUUUUGGAUGAAUUACUACAUCAUCAAAACACCGUAGAAUACGCACCUAUUGACAUUUCAAAAGAUUUUCUAAAUGAAGUGUGCAAUGUCCUUCGGCAGACUUAUGGGGAUCGUAUAAUAGUUGAUCCAAAGGCAUACGAUCUAUUGCAAGCGUUGUCUAAGAUAAGGUAU